rnacentral:rRNA from 1 species
UGCGUAGGCGGAAUAUUAAGUCAGUGGUGAAAUCCUGCGGCUCAACCGUAGAACUGCCAUUGAUACUGAUAUUCUUGAAUGUAGUUGAGGUAGGCGGAAUGGGUAAUGUAGCGGUGAAAUGCUUAGAUAUUACACAGAACACCGAUUGCGAAGGCAGCUUACUAAACUAUGAUUGACGCUGAGGCACGAAAGCGUGGGGAGCGAACAGGAUUAGAUACCCUGGUAGUCC